ACGGCGAGUGAAGCGGCAACAGCUCAAAUUUGAAAGCUGGCCUUCGGGUCCGCAUUGUAAUUUGUAGAGGAUGCUUUGGGGCAGCCGCCUGUCUAAGUUCCUUGGAACAGGACGUCAUAGAGGGUGAGAAUCCCGUAUGUGACAGGACAUGGCACCCUAUGUAAAGCUCCUUCGACGAGUCGAGUUGUUUGGGAAUGCAGCUCUAAAUGGGAGGUAAAUUUCUUCUAAAGCUAAAUACCGGCGAGAGACCGAUAGCGCACAAGUAGAGUGAUCGAAAGAUGAAAAGCACUUUGGAAAGAGAGUUAAAAAGCACGUGAAAUUGUUGAAAGGGAAGCGCUUGCAAUCAGACUUGUUUAAACUGUUCGGCCGGUCUUCUGACCGGUUUACUCAGUUUGGACAGGCCAGCAUCAGUUUCGGCGGCCGGAUAAAGGCCCUAGGAAUGUGACCCCCUCUUCGGAGGGGGUGUUAUAGCCUGGGGUGUAAUACGGCCAGCCGGGACUGA
rnacentral:rRNA from 1 species